UCCGUCCGUGCCAACGGACGGUUCGAUUUUCAAACACUGCGUUAGUUGCGGGCACGUGGCGUUGUUCUGGAAGAAGGUCUUCAGGAGUUUUGCCGGUUUCAGCGAGCUGCUUUUCAAACCGGGAUCCAGAGUGGUGGCAAAGGGAUUGGCUCGCAUAAGGUCAUAGCCUAAACCCAGAUACCGGGCCACGCCGACCUCCGCCGUGCUGAGUGUAACUUCGUUGGAAUCUUCCGUACCUGAAAAGAGAAAGCAUCCUCCAAGCGCGAAUAUGAUUUUCCGGGUUGCUCCGCAUGCCAGCAUAACCACCAUCAAGACCGUGGCUAUUAUGACCACACCCAUCCCGGUGCUGUAUAGCACCUGUGUUGCUAGCAUAAAAUCUGCAAAAGCACAACUUGAGAGAUGUGUAAACACAGCGCAAUCACGACGAGUACUAGAGCAAUAUCGUUGCCGGCAAUCGUUAUACUGCUUACAACUGGAUUGCCGGUGUUCUGGUACAUCCGGAAGCAGAUCUCCCACAAGCCGAUUUUGUGGAAGAGCAUUCUGAACGACGGCACCAUUUCCGGGUGCAUUUCGCUGUCCACAACCAGCCAUGACGAUGUCCAGAAUCCCGUGAGCGUCAGCGCCGCCACCAGGAUCGUCAGGAUAACCGUACCCACAGAAACAUAAUCCAAAAUCAAUCGAUUACCCCAAGCCAUGUUCGAUAGCGUGGCAGCAUCACAGUAUAUUACCAAAAAUACAAAACGGUCUGUAAUUAGCACGAAAUUAUCCUUGUACAAUAAACCGAGAUCAGAACGCACUCCUUUCAAUAAUUGUAAAGCUGAGCGUCUGUAAAGUGGACAUUCCAAAAGUAUGCGUAUACACCGGCGUGUACAAACGUUUAUCCGGAAACAAUCUAUUUGAAAUGUUAAUAAGAGCAAGGUUAAUGU